rnacentral:lncRNA from 1 species
UUGAAUAUAUUAUAAACAAAAAUUACUAAUUAAAAAUAAAAAAUAAAAAUCAAUUACACAUAAUAAAUCUGAUAUGAAUAUCCAAAUAAUCCUAAUUAAUUACACUGAUUAUUUUGAUUAAAAAACAAAAAUGAAAUAAUUAAAAAAGAAUAAAAAUUGAAUGCAAAAAUGCUCAAAAAAUUGAAAUGAAUGCACCAUCAUGAUCAGCGCGAAAUAAAC